rnacentral:rRNA from 1 species
UACAGAGGUGGCAAGCGUUGUUCGGAAUUACUGGGCGUAAAGGGCGCGUAGGCGGCCUUCUAAGUCAGACGUGAAAUCCCCCGGCUUAACCUGGGAACUGCGUCUGAUACUGGGAGGCUUGAGUAUGGGAGAGGGAUGCGGAAUUCCAGGUGUAGCGGUGAAAUGCGUAGAUAUCUGGAGGAACACCGGUGGCGAAGGCGGCAUCCUGGACCGACACUGACACUGAGGAGCGAAAGCCAGGGAGCAAACGGG